GGCCGGCCUGGUCGGCUCCGGACAGCAGCCCACCGCCUCGGUGGCGGUAGGUGCCGGGGCGGGUUCGGGCGCCGGCGCCGGCGU
rnacentral:tRNA from 1 species